rnacentral:tRNA from 1 species
GUGCAUGUAGAUUAUGGGGUGAAAUCGUGAGGCUGUUAACCUUGAGAAGACUGUGUAGUUCGUGGACG